rnacentral:rRNA from 1 species
UACGUAGGGUGCAAGCGUUAAUCGGAAUUACUGGGCGUAAAGCGUGCGCAGGCGGUUUUGUAAGUCUGUCGUGAAAGCCCCGGGCUCAACCUGGGAAUUGCGAUGGAGACUGCAAGGCUUGAAUCUGGCAGAGGGGGGUAGAAUUCCACGUGUAGCAGUGAAAUGCGUAGAGAUGUGGAGGAACACCGAUGGCGAAGGCAGCCCCCUGGGUCAAGAUUGACGCUCAUGCACGAAGGCGUGGGGAGCAAACAGG